rnacentral:tRNA from 2 species
GGCAAGAUGGCCGAGCGGUCUAAGGCGCUGUGUUCAGGAUUUCUGAGUAUCGCAGUCCGAAAGGGCGUGGGUUCGAAUCCCACUCUUGUCA